rnacentral:rRNA from 1 species
UUUUCUCGAAUUUAUAAGAGCUAAGAAUAUAUAGAUUUUAAUGUAGAAAAAUUAUUUAGAAUAUAUUUUUUGAUAUUAUACGUUAGUCGGGUAUAAAUAUAUCUAGUUUUUUAAGAAAUUAAUUUAAUUAAGCUAAUUAUAGGGGUGAUUUAUUUUAUAAAUAGACCUAAUGAUUAAGUAAUAUUUAAGGGGAUAAGCUUUUAAGUAGAAUUUUAUAAGAAUUAUAUAAUUUAAAGUUGAAUAGGAAUAGAAGUUUUCAUUUUUUGUAGUGUUUUAUAUCAAGACUUUAGUUUAGGUGAUUUAUUUUUUUUUAGUUUGUUUAUUAAAAUAUUAAAGUUAAUUUUAUGAUUUUAAGUAAUAAUGAUAGAAUUAGUAUAGGAAUUUGUUUAAAUGUUUAUAAGUGUAAAUUUUAAUUAAGGAAUUCGGCAAAUAUAUUUUCUGCCUGUUUAUUAAAAACAUGGCCUUUUGGAAAUAAUUUAAGGUCAGGCCUGCCCCAUGAUUAAUUAAAUGGCCGCGGUACUCUGACCGUGCAAAGGUAGCAUAAUCAUUAGUUUUUUAAUUGAAAGCUGGAAUGAACGGUCUUACAAGAAAAUUACUGUCUCAGUUGAAUGAUUUAGAAUUUUAUUUUUUAGUAAGAAAGCUAAAAUGGUUUUAGGGGACGAGAAGACC